UUGUUAAUAAAAUAUUUGAUCCUUUCGUACUAAAAUAUUUUAAUUUAUAAAAGAUAGAAACCAACCUGGCUUACACCGGUUUAAACUCAGAUCAUGUAAAAUUUUAAAGGUCGAACAGACCUAAAGUUUUAGCUUCUACACCAAAAUUAAAUUUUAAUCCAACAUCGAGGUCGCAAUCUUUUUUUUUAAUAAGAACUUUUAAAAAAAAUUACGCUGUUAUCCCUAAGGUAAUUUUUUCUUUUAAUCAUUUUUAUGGAUCAAAAAUUCAUAAAUUAAUGGUUCAAUAAAAAAAAAGUUUAUUUAAUUUUUUAGUCACCCCAACUCAAUUUAAAAAAUAAAUUAUUAUAUAAAAUUCCUAAAUAAAAAUUUACACUUUAAAUUAAACUCUAUAGGGUCUUCUCGUCUUUUUAAUAAAUUUAAGCUUUUUAACUUAAAAAUAAAAUUCUAAAAAAAUAAAAUCGAGACAGAAAUUUUCUCAUCAAACCAUUCAUACAAGCUUUCAAUUAAAAAACUAAUGAUUAUGCUACCUUUGCACAGUCAAAAUACUGCGGCCCUUCAAUUAAUCAGUGGGCAGGCCCAACUUUAAAUUAUUUUC
rnacentral:rRNA from 1 species